rnacentral:antisense_RNA from 1 species
GGUCAUGGCGGGCGGUGCGUGGGGACCUUCGGGUCCACCGGUUUGGCAUCUACCGGAUUUCGAACCAUGUACCGCCCGCCACCUUU